UACGGAGGAUGCAAGCGUUAUCCGGAAUUAUUGGGCGUAAAGCGUCCGUAGGUGGUUGAGUAAGUCUGCUGUUAAAGCGUGGAGCCUAACUCCAUAUCGGCAGUGGAAACUACUUGACUUGAAUGCGGUAGGGGUCAGGGGAAUUCCCAGUGUAGCGGUGAAAUGCGUAGAUAUUGGGAAGAACACCGGUGGCGAAAGCGCCUGACUGGGCCUGCACUGACACUGAGGGACGAAAGCUAGGGGAGCGAAAGGG
rnacentral:rRNA from 1 species